rnacentral:rRNA from 1 species
GCUAAUACCGGAUAGGAGCUCCUGCUGCAUGGUGGGGGUUGGAAAGUUUCGGCGGUUGGGGAUGGACUCGCGGCUUAUCAGCUUGUUGGUGGGGUAGUGGCUUACCAAGGCUUUGACGGGUAGCCGGCCUGAGAGGGUGACCGGCCACAUUGGGACUGAGAUACGGCCCAGACUCUUACGGGAGGCAGCAGUGGGGAAUAUUGCACAAUGGGCGGAAGCCUGAUGCAGCAACGCCGCGUGCGGGAUGACGGCCUUCGGGUUGUAAACCGCUUUCGCCUGUGACGAAGCGUGAGUGACGGUAAUGGGUAAAGAAGCACCGGCUAACUACGUGCCAGCAGCCGCGGUGAUACGUAGGGUGCGAGCGUUGUCCGGAUUUAUUGGGCGUAAAGGGCUCGUAGGUGGUUGAUCGCGUCGGAAGUGUAAUCUUGGGGCUUAACCCUGAGCGUGCUUUCGAUACGGGUUGACUUGAGGAAGGUAGGGGAGAAUGGAAUUCCUGGUGGAGCGGUGGAAUGCGCAGAUAU